rnacentral:rRNA from 1 species
UACGUAGGGCGCGAGCGUUGUCCGGAAUUAUUGGGCGUAAAGAGCUCGUAGGCGGCUUGUUGCGUCUGCUGUGAAAUCCCGGGGCUUAACCCCGGGCGUGCAGUGGAUACGGGCAGGCUGGAGGCAGGCAGGGGAGAAUGGAAUUCCCGGUGUAGCGGUGAAAUGCGCAGAUAUCGGGAGGAAUACCGAUGGCGAAGGCAGGUCUCUGGGCUGACACUGACGCUCAUGCACGAAAGCGUGGGGAGCAAACAGG